rnacentral:rRNA from 1 species
GACGAACGCUGGCGGCGUGCUUAACACAUGCAAGUCGAACGGAAAGGCCCUGCUUUUGUGGGGUGCUCGAGUGGCGAACGGGUGAGUAACACGUGAGUAACCUGCCCUUGACUUUGGGAUAACUUCAGGAAACUGGGGCUAAUACCGGAUAGGAGCUCCUGCUGCAUGGUGGGGGUUGGAAAGUUUCGGCGGUUGGGGAUAGACUCGCGGCUUAUCAACUUGUUGGUGGGGUAGUGGCUUACCAAGGCUUUGACGGGUAGCCGGCCUGAGAGGGUGACCGGCCACAUUGGGACUGAGAUACGGCCCAGACUCCUACGGGAGGCAGCAGUGGGGAAUAUUGCACAAUGGGCGGAAGCCUGAUGCAGCAACGCCGCGUGCGGGAUGACGGCCUUCGGGUUGUAAACCGCUUUCGCCUGUGACGAAGCGUGAGUGACGGUAAUGGGUAAAGAAGCACCGGCUAACUACGUG